rnacentral:lncRNA from 1 species
GGGCCUUGUGUAUGGUAAGCAAGUGUUCUGAGCUAUAUCCUCAGCCUUGGUGUGUAUAUCCUCAGUCACAGGGUGGUGACUACACACUUUCUAGUCCUCUAGAAGAGUUAUAGAGGCAAGGUGAAUUAAUGCAAGAUGUUGGAGAUUCUCUGGUAGACCAGAUUGUCUACUCUAGGACCUGUUGGGGAGCUGGAAAGAAGAAAUCAAAAGAAGGAAUUCUGGGAGGGAGGCCUGGAUCACUCUACUCUUCAGAGACCUGCUGAUCUGGUUUUCCAUCCCCUGAAGAAUAAAAGCCCAACUCCUCACCAGCUCACUCAAGGCUCUGUGGUUGGCCAUCAUUAUAUACCAACAGGCUGCAUGCUGUGUGGCCCCAUGUGCACCCUGUACCCAUCAGCACCGAAUCUCUGUUUCCUAAAUAGAACUUGCAUUUUGAAACUCCCCUGGCUGGUUUGAUUGCUUCUCUGCCAGAAUGCCAUUUCCCACAUAUCCCUCUAUUAAAUCUUUCUUAUCCUCAGAGUCCCUAUUGAAUACCUCCUCCAUGAAGUUCUACCCAGAUUGUCAGAAGUAAU